rnacentral:tRNA from 1 species
UAUAACUUUGAAAACAGUAUGGAAGCAUAAUUUUAAAGCGUAUUAGUUUCGGCCUAAUAAAUCUGGAAAAGUAAUAAACUCCCCAUUCUA